rnacentral:rRNA from 1 species
CCUACGGGAGGCUGCAGUGGGGAAUAUUGGGCAAUGGCCGAAAGCCUGACCCAGCAACGCCGCGUGAAGGAAGAAGGCUUUCGGGUUGUAAACUCCUUUUGACAGGGAAGAGCAGAAGACGGUACCUGUCGAAUAAGCCACGGCUAACUACGUGCCAGUAGCCGCGGUAAUACGUAGGUGGCAAGCUUUGUCCGGAUUUACUGGGUGUAAAGGGCGUGUAGCCGGGCUGACAAGUCGGAUGCGAAAUCCGGGGGCUCAACCCCCGAACUGCAGUUGAAACUGUUGGUCUUGAGUAUCGGAGAGGCAGGCGGAAUUCCUGGUGUAGCGGUGAAAUGCAUAGAUAUUAGGAGGAACACCGGUGGCGAAGGCAGCCUGCUGGACGACAACUGACGGUGAGGCGCGAAAGCGUGGGGAGCAAACAGGAUUAGAUACCCGGGUAGUC